GAUGAACGCUGGCGGCGUGCCUAAUACAUGCAAGUCGAGCGAACAGACGAGGAGCUUGCUCCUCUGACGUUAGCGGCGGACGGGUGAGUAACACGUGGAUAACCUACCUAUAAGACUGGGAUAACUUCGGGAAACCGGAGCUAAUACCGGAUAAUAUAUUGAACCGCAUGGUUCAAUAGUGAAAGACGGUUUUGCUGUCACUUAUAGAUGGAUCCGCUCCGCAUUAGCUAGUUGGUAAGGUAACGGCUUACCAAGGCAACGAUGCGUAGCCGACCUGAGAGGGUGAUCGGCCACACUGGAACUGAGACACGGUCCAGACUCCUACGGGAGGCAGCAGUAGGGAAUCUUGCGAAAUGGGCGAAAGCCUGACGGAGCAACGCCGCGUGAGUGAUGAAGGUCUUCGGAUCGUAAAACUCUGUUAUUAGGGAAGAACAAAUGUGUAAGUAACUAUGCACGUCUUGACGGUACCUAAUCAGAAAGCCACGGCUAACUACGUG
rnacentral:rRNA from 1 species